UACAGAGGGUGCUAGCGUUGUUCGGAAUCAUUGGGCGUAAAGGGCGUGUAGGCGGUUUGUUAAGUCAUGUGUGAAAUCCCUCGGCUCAACCGGGGAACGACGCAUGAAACUGGCAAGCUAGAGUACCAAAGAGGGGGGUGGAAUUCCCGGUCUAGCGGUGAAAUGCGUAGAUAUCGGGAGGAACACCUGUGGCGAAGGCGGCCCCCUGGUUGGAUACUGACGCUGAUACGCGAAAGCGUGGGGAGCAAACAGG
rnacentral:rRNA from 1 species